AUACGUAGGUGGCGAGCGUUGUCCGGAAUGAUUGGGCGUAAAGGGCGCGUAGGCGGCGCGGUAAGUCUGGAGUGAAAGUCCUGCUUUCAAGGUGGGAAUUGCUUUGGAUACUGCCGCGCUUGAGUGCAGGAGAGGUUAUCGGAAUUCCCGGUGUAGCGGUGAAAUGCGUAGAGAUCGGGAGGAACACCAGUGGCGAAGGCGGGUAACUGGACUGCAACUGACGCUGAGGCGCGAAAGUGUGGGGAGCAAACAGGAUUAGAUACCCUGGUAGUCCACACUGUAAACGAUGAAUGCUAGGUGUAAGAGGUAUCGACCCCUUUUGUGCCGGAGUCAACACAAUAAGCAUUCCGCCUGGGGAGUACGGCCGCAAGGUUGAAACUCAAAUGAAUUGACGGGG
rnacentral:rRNA from 1 species